rnacentral:rRNA from 1 species
UACAGAGGAGCCAAGCGUUGUCCGGAUUGACUGGGCGUAAAGCGCACGCAGGCGGUCGGGCGCGUGGGGUGUGAAAUCUGGCCGCUUAACGGCCAGGCGCCAUCCCAUACGGCUCGACUGGAGUGAUGCAGAGGUCGAUGGAAUUGCCGGUGUAGUGGUGAAAUGCGUAGAGAUCGGCAGGAACACCCAGGGGGAAACCAGUGGACUGGGCAUGAGCUGACGCUCAGGUGCGAAAGCGUGGGGAGCGAACAGG